rnacentral:rRNA from 1 species
UGAGAGGUUGGCCCGCCACAUCGGGACUGAGACACUGCCCGGACACCUACGGGUGGCUGCAGUAACGAAUAUUGGGCAAUGGGCGAAAGCCUGACCCAGCAAUGCCGCGUGCAGGAGGAAGCCUUUCGGGGUGUAAACUACUGUCAGGAGUCAGCAACCAAAGGGUGUUAAUAGCGCCCGGCGUUGAGCAGCUCCAGAGGAAGCCUCGACUAACUCUGUGCCAGCAGUCGCGGUAAGACAGAGGAGGCAAGCGUUGUUCAGAAUUACUGGGCUUAAAGAGGGUGUAGGCGGCUCGGAAAGUGUCGUGUGAAAUCCAACGGCUCAACCGUUGAACUGCACGGCAAACUACUUGGCUUGAGGUCGGUAGAGGUGCCUGGAACUCUAGGUGGAGCGGUGAAAUGCGUAGAUAUCUAGAGGAAUGCCGGAGGCGAAAGCGGGGCACUGGGCCGAUUCUGACGCUGAGACCCGAAAGCGUGGGGAGCAAACAGGAUUAGAUACCCUGGUAGUCCACGCCGUAAACGAUGCACACUAGACGUCGGAGCUUCUGACAGUGUCGGCGUCGCAGCAAAAGUACUAAGUGUGCCGCCUGGGGAGUACGGCCGCAAGGCUAAAACUCAAAGGAAUUGACGGGGGCUCACACAAGCGGUGGAGCAUGUGGCUUAAUUCGAAACAACGCGAAGAACCUUACCCGGGUUUGACAUGCUUGGAUGCCUCUUGGGGAUAACUCAGGUAGGCUGCCCUUCGGGGUGAAACUUGCACAGGUGUUGCACGGCUGUCGUCAGCUCGUGCUGUGAAGUGUCGGGUUAAGUCCCUUAACGAGCGAAACCCCUAUCGUUAGUUGCCAGCGCGUAAUGGCGGGGACUCUAGCGAGACUGCCGGCGUUAAGCCGGAGGAAGGUGGGGACGACGUCAAGUCAUCAUGGCCUUUAUGCCCGGGGAUGCACACGUGCUACAAUGGCGUGAACAGAGCGAUGCGAGACCGCGAGGUGGAGCAAAUCGCAAAAAACACGCCCCAGUUCGGAUUGGAGUCUGCAAUUCGACUCCAUGAAGUUGGAAUCGCUAGUAAUCGCGUAUCAGCUACGACGCGGUGAAUGUGUUCCUGAGCCUUGUACACACCGCCCGUCAAGUCAUGGAAGCUGGUAGUACCCGAAGUCCGUUUAGCUAACCUUUUGGAAGCGGCGGCCGACGGUAAGACUGGUAACUGGGACUAAGUCGGAACAAGGUA